AUGAGCAACCUUCUUGGGAAAUUGGUUCAGUGCUGGACGACAUUGUUGGGUGCUGAUGGUGAUGCAGUUGCCAGUAAUUUCAUUUCUUUAGUUGGAGAACGCACAUAUCAUCCAACUGGUUGCCAUGGCUGGCACGAUGACAACAAUUCUCAGGAGCUCCGCAAUACCCAAGAGGAGUUGUUCAGUGUUGGAUCUGGUGGUGAUGGUGCUAGUCUUUACAAGGAAGAAGACAAUAGAUGGAGAAUGUGCACCAGGACAUUGGCCAUGAUCAAUCUCGGGAAAUUCAAGAUGGAUCUCCUACUGACAAGGCUUCACCAAUUGUUCCCCCAUCCAGGAGACAAAAUUCUUCCAGUGUCGCGAGUGACACCAGUGUUUCUACUUUGA
rnacentral:rRNA from 1 species